rnacentral:rRNA from 1 species
AUUGAACGCUGGCGGCAUGCUUUACACGUGCAAGUCGGACGGCAGCACAGAGAAGCUUGCUUCUUGGGUGGCGAGUGGCGAACAGGUGAGUAACAUAUCGGAACGUACCGAGCAGUGGGGGAUAACUAAUCGAAAGAUUAGCUAAUACCGCAUAUCUUCUGAGGAAGAAAGCAGGGGACCAUUUGGCCUUGCGCUGUUUGAGCGGCCGAUAUCUGAUUAGCUAGUUGGUGGGGUAAAGGCCUACCAAGGCGACGAUCAGUAGCGGGUCUGAGAGGAUGAUCCGCCACACUGGGACUGAGACACGGCCCAGACUCCUACGGGAGGCAGCAGUGGGGAAUUUUGGACAAUGGGCGCAAGCCUGAUCCAGCCAUGCCGCGUGUCUGAAGAAGGCCUUCGGGUUGUAAAGGACUUUUGUCAGGGAAGAAAAGGGCGGGGUUAAUACCCCUGUCUGAUGACG